rnacentral:lncRNA from 1 species
GUCCGGUUGCCACGACCCUGGAAGCUGGCAGCGUGGGCAGGACCGCAGGGGGCCCCGGCUUCACCAGUCCUGGGCGCGUAGCAGGGGGAACCGGCAGCCCGACCGCAAGUGCCAGAGGAGGUAAAGAAGGCAGCACCCCCAUGGCCCCUAGCCCGGGAGGGACCAGGCUGCGUUCCCGAGAGCAGUCAGGAGAGACCUUUGAGGCCCUAGGAAAUGGCCCUGAGCGGGACCCACGUCGCGCUCCAGACUGAGCUGCUGAUUGUAGGCCUUGGAGAUGAGCU